UACAGAGGGGGCAAGCGUUGUUCGGAAUUACUGGGCGUAAAGGGCGCGUAGGCGGCCCGCUAAGUCGAACGUGAAAUCCCCGGGCUCAACCCGGGAACUGCGUCCGAUACUGGUGGGCUUGAAUCCGGGAGAGGGAUGCGGAAUUCCAGGUGUAGCGGUGAAAUGCGUAGAUAUUGGGAAGAACACCGGUGGCGAAGGCGGCUAUCUGGACCGACAUUGACGCUGAGGCGCGAAAGCGUGGGGAGCAAACGGG
rnacentral:rRNA from 1 species